rnacentral:rRNA from 1 species
AUUGAACGCUGGCGGCAUGCCUUACACAUGCAAGUCGAACGGCAGCACGGGUGCUUGCACCUGGUGGCGAGUGGCGAACGGGUGAGUAAUAUAUCGGAACGUACCUUAUCGUGGGGGAUAACGCAGCGAAAGCUGCGCUAAUACCGCAUACGCCCUGAGGGGGAAAGCGGGGGACCGUAAGGCCUCGCGCGAUUAGAGCGGCCGAUAUCUGAUUAGCUUGUUGGUGGGGUAAAAGCCCACCAAGGCGACGAUCAGUAGCUGGUCUGAGAGGACGAUCAGCCGCACUGGGACUGAGACACGGCCCAGACUCCUACGGGAGGCAGCAGUGGGGAAUUUUCCACAAUGGGCGAAAGCCUGAUGGAGCAAUGCCGUGUGGAGGAAGAAGGACCGUGGUUCGUAAACUCCUUUUCUUAGAGAAGAAAUUUUGACGGUAUCUAAGGAAUAAGCUCCGGCUAACUUCGUG